AUUGAACGCUGGCGGCAGGCCUAACACAUGCAAGUCGAGCGAGCGGCGGACGGGUGAGUAAUGUAUGGGGACUGCCCGAUAGAGGGGGAUAACUACUGGAAACGGUGGCUAAUACCGCAUACUAUCGGAUAACCAAUAUGGGAUUAGCUAGUAGGUGGGGUAAAGGCUCACCUAGGCGACGAUCACUAGCUGGUCUGAGAGGAUGAUCAGCCACACUGGGACUGAGAAACGGCCCAAACUCCUACGGAGGCAGCAGUGGGGAAUAUUGCGCAAUGGGCGCAAUCCUGAUGCAGCCAUACCGCGUGUAUGAAGAAGGCCUUAGGGUUGUAAAGUACUUUCAACGGGGAGGCGUUACCCGCAGAAAAAACACCGGCUAACACCGUGCCAGCAGCAGCAGUAAUUC
rnacentral:rRNA from 1 species